UAUGACCACUGAUCGGGUGG
rnacentral:misc_RNA from 1 species